rnacentral:lncRNA from 7 species
GGAGGGGCUUGGGGCAGUCCUUGCACCUCGCCCUGCUGCAGAUUCUCACAGGUUCCCUUUCUCUCAAUCUCUCAUCCUUUUUUUUUUUUUUUUUUUUUUUUCUUUUAUUUUUUAAUGAAUUAUUCAUUUUUUUUUUGUUUUUUUUUUCAGUUGUGAAACAGUGGCUGGAAGGAGUCAAGGUUCACUUGUGCUCUGGAAAGCAAUGCCCCUGGCCUGCCAUGGAGAUCGAACAGAUCUACCAGAAUCUUUCCCAGCUCUUCUUCUCUGUGCUGAGGAACUGGCAGGACUGCAAGGAGGAAAAGGACAAACAGGCGGUCCUCGGGGCUGUGGCUGCCAUGAUGGCUGUCCUCCUUCGAGAAGAGCUGUGCCGAGAGCACGUUUGGGAGCAGCUCCUCUGGCUCGUGCACCCGUAUCAGGAGGUCCAAGACACCUGCAGGGUGACCAAGGUGAGACGUUUUGCAGGGCUCAGUGUGGAUGUGGGGCUCGUGCAAGUGCCACGAGGGGUCAGUGGGACGCAGGGAGGAGCCAGGAGCCCUUGGAGAAAGACAGAAUAGGUGUCCAAGGGAGGUCUGAGGCUUCCUGAGCUCUUCAGUCAAGGAAGGAACAACCCGGACAGGAGCCAGAAGGGAGCCAGGAGUCACCGGGGCCCACCUCCUGGGGCUGAGAGGCUUCACCAGCACCACCGCUGUGGGGCUCUGGUGCCUGAGGAGCUCUGUGCUAACAACCAGGGGGACCACGUCCAGUUGCAUCUGAUGGGGGAGAAGAGGGCUGCUGGGUGGGAAAUGCCUGCAACCGAUGCCCAAACAGGGCUCGGUUGAGAGCAGAGGGACUCUCUUGGUGCUGCUGGGAGGCGGGGACAAACCAGAACGCCUGUGCGGGAGCUCUCCCAGCGGACAAACCAUUGGGAAUCAGUUUCUCUGCUCCCAAGUGGCUAGAGU